rnacentral:rRNA from 1 species
GUGUGGGGGACAUUCCACGUUUUCCGCGCCGUAGCUAACGCAUUAAGUGCCCCGCCUGGGGAGUACGGCCGCAAGGCUAAAACUCAAAGGAAUUGACGGGGGCCCGCACAAGCGGCGGAGCAUGCGGAUUAAUUCGAUGCAACGCGAAGAACCUUACCAAGGCUUGACAUGAACCGGAAUGAUGCAGAGAUGUGUCAGCCACUUGUGGCCGGUUUACAGGUGGUGCAUGGUUGUCGUCAGCUCGUGUCGUGAGAUGUUGGGUUAAAUCCCGCAACGAGCGCAACCCUCGUUCCAUGUUGCCAGCGGGUUAUGCCGGGGACUCAUGGGAGACUGCCGGGGUCAACUCGGAGGAAGGUGGGGACGACGUCAAAUCAUCAUGCCCCUUAUGUCUUGGGCUUCACGCAUGCUACAAUGGCCGGUACAAAGGGUUGCGAUACUGUGAGGUGGAGCUAAUCCCAAAAAGCCGGUCUCAGUUCGGAUUGAGGUCUGCAACUCGACCUCAUGAAGUUGGAGUCGCUAGUAAUCGCAGAUCAGCAACGCUGCGGUGAAUACGUUCCCGGGCCUUGUACACACCGCC